rnacentral:SRP_RNA from 1 species
GCCAGGUGUGGUGGUGUGCACCUGUAGUCCCAGCUACUUGGGAGGCUGAGGCAGGAGGAUCACUUGAGCCCAGGAGGUGUAGGUUGUGGUGAGCUGAGAUCACACCACUGCACUCCAGUCUGGGUGACAGAGUGAGACCCUGUCUCAA